UGUAUGUGUAUGGGAUUAAAAUCUCUAAGCUUCUCAGCAUGAUAAACAGGAUGCGGGCCUUGCGAAAACACAGUCUAGUCUGCUAAUGAAAUUGUGUUCACACCUAGUUUGGUUUCGCCUCUGGAGGCGGCCAUGAGAACUGACCACAUCUGAGGUGAAGUAACAUUUAGCGUGGGAGAUCAGUGUGGGCACAGAGUCUAUUUAAAAGCCAAGGACUGUCUUGGAGAUAGAGUGCCGGAGCUUGAUUUUAUUCAUUAUUGUGCUGUUUACUGUCAUACUCUAGUGUGGGAGCUCUAACUAUCAAGGGAAAUGAAUUACACUCUGAACUGCAAGAUGAAAGUCUUUCUUCUCAUGAUUUUAUACUUGGUCAAUUGCUCUGUUGCUAGGCGGCAUCAUUCACGCAGCAGUGGGUCUGACAGUAGUGAGAGUGGCCAACACCUGUGGAUUAGACCUUCAUUCAAUAUCUGUACUGUGUUUCCGAUUCUAUGUGCGCAACCACCUAUUCAGCCAUCAACAUCAACCACAACACAGACUUCCAGGACCACAAUCAUGUCUACUACUACAGCCCUGAGGGGAGACAGUCGGUGAAUAGCAUUGAUCUGAAAAAAAAAAAAAAAAGUAGCUGAUACUACUUUGGUUUUAACUUUCCAACAUAAGCAGCACAAAGCUGCAUAAUAAUAGGGAAAUGGAUGCUGUGAGAAUUAUGUCUGUUUUUUAGAUUUUGUAACCUUGAAGCCAGAAAUGAACCAAAUUUUAUUGCCAUUCAAAGAUAUUGCAUAUUGUGUUUGCAUAUUUUCACAUUUCAGUAUUGCAGCAUCCUUCAACCUCUCUUUACAAUGUUAUAUAUGUUUUGUUGAUCCUACUUAUUUGAAUGUUUUGUUUAAUUAAAAAAAAAAAAAAAACUUAUAUAACCAGUGAGGUUAUAUGUUGCACUGUGAUUUGAAACAUGUAACAUUUAGAGAGGCAUUCAGUCAGCAAGGUAAUGAUGAGUUUUGUUAGAGACUAGGCUUCCAGACAUUAGUGGGAGGGAUGCUGACGACAUGCAUGCGUAAUAUCCAGUAAGCGGGUACACACAACACCAACCCUAGAUCAACACAGCUUAAGUGAGGGAUGAUUGCUGAGCUGUUAAUGCAUGACUCUGUGCUUCAUGAGUUAAACACAUAGUACUGCUUUAUUUCUUCUUCACACACCCUCUUCAGCAGUAUUUUCACUGAUUGCACAGCACUGCUUGCUCUGCUGAUUUGACAAAAAAAGUAAUUAAGAUUGUCAUUAGCAUACACCCUUUUAACACAGCUAGCAUGGUCUCUUACUUUCUCUUUGGUGUGAGGUGUGCAUGAAUGUGCAUUAUCUCCUGUUUUGUGGAUGUCUGCCUAAUUUGCAAACUUGGUUAAUUUUGUAAACCAGCUGGCAACCAACUUUUAAAGUAUGCACUGAAUUAUAUGUAUUUUUCAUAAUUGUUGUAUUUGAUCCUUUGGUGAUUUUUUUUUCAAAAUAAAUUGCAAUUUGAAAAGAGAUCCUUGU